GGAAAUAAGCUAUGAAAAUAAGCAAGAAAUUAAAGUGCAAGAAAUGCAAACUAGGCAUAUCCUAAGAGUGUUUGGAUGACCUCAUUGAAGGUUCCCAACAAAACACUCACUAUCCUAAGGGGAAAUUGCCUAAAAUUAUUACACACAAAUAGAAGUAGGGUGACCUAGCGGAGGCUCCCAACUUACUCCCAAUCUAGCAUGUGAAAUUACAAAACUACCCCUAAUACAAAAACUAGUCUAGGUGCCCUAAAAUACAAGGG
rnacentral:lncRNA from 1 species